CCAACGUCAACGUCAACACCAACGUCAACAUCAACACCAACACCAACAUCAACAUCAGCUUCAACAUCAACAUCAGCAUCAACGUCAACAUCAACACCAACACCAACAUCGGCAUCGAUGUCUAUGCGGCUACCCCACGUGACGGUCACGCCUCUGCUACAGACAGUGUUGCUUGAAAGCAGCGAUAAGGGCAUAUAUUUAACGGCCCCAAAUACAGACAGAAAUGGACAUACAGGAAAAAAAGAACAUCCAUAAGACAGAUGACUGACACGGCAUCUUCACGACCGUCAGCUUGUGGUAGCUUCUACCGCCUUCCAGACGACACGUCAAUCAUCAGCACUACCUGCAUGAAGUGGGACAAUGAUAAUAACCGAUGGGCAGGAAACUCCGAAGACGCACUAGUCAAGGAUUUGAUCCAGAUGAAAGACUAUAGCGGAAAUGAACACAAACUUGGCAUGAUUAAAGGGGAUAUUUACUGUGGCACGGGAAGUUACAAUUUCAACAAUGCUACCUGGGCAGUAUAUUACAGAUAGAUGGCAGACUAGAGAGGAAGCAGAAAUUUGUACUCCUUUAUUACCUCACUUCCUUUUUUUACGGUUCCUUUUUUUAAUUUCAUUAUUAAGGAAUGGUUGAAUACUAGCCCAAUGCUAAGCAAGGGAGCGGUCAUUUGUUAGAAUAAUUGAUAAAGCUGACUGUUAAUUUGGUAUAACAUUUUUGGUUUGACGAGGAAAAUUUAUCCAAGGGCUCCCGACAUCAAAUACACAGUACUUAAUAAGAUCUAAAAUAACAAUGUUUCUAUUUACUUCUUUUUCGCUAUUGGCAAUAUAGCAUGAAUUGCCUUUCUGUAAUGUGUUAUGUACGUGAGUCGUAUACAAAACCUUUUAUAAAAAUAAUAUUAUAAAAUAUGAUCUAUUAAAGCAUGCUUUGCAAAUACCCCCAA